AUUGAAUUAUAACAUAUUCUAACCCAAAAUAACUUUAUACAAGCCAUUCACCGCCUCAAAGCAAUGGUGUUGGGUUCUUAUCCCAUUUGGGACCAAAUAUCAACAAGUCUUUCUUCUCACUUCUAAACAUUCUUCAUGCAUCUCUAGCACUUGUAAUCAAUCAAAUUCAUUGUAUUAUAACAUAUUCUAACCCAAAAUAACUUUAUACAAGCCAUUCAUUGCCUCAAAGCAAUGGUUUUGGGUUCUUAUCCCAUUUGAGACCAAAUAUCAACAAGUCUUUCUUCUCACUUCUAAACAUUCUUCAUGCAUCUCUAGCACUUGUAAUCAAUCAAAUUCAUUGUAUUAUAACAUAUUCUAACCCAAAAUAACUUUAUACAAGCCAUUCAUUGCCUCAAAGCAAUGGUUUUGGGUUCUUAUCCCAUUUGAGACCAAAUAUCAACAAGUCUUUCUUCUCACUUCUAAACAUUCUUCAUGCAUCUCUAGCACUUGUAAUGAAUCAUAUUCAUUGUAUUAUAACAUAUUCUAACCCAAAAUAACUUUAUACAAGCCAUUCACUGCCUCAAAGCAAUGUUUUUGG
rnacentral:lncRNA from 1 species